ACUUGGUUACCCUUAAGAACACCAAUUUUGACUUUUCAAAUUGACUUUUCCUUUCUUCUUAUGCAUCACACCAUAUUAGGGAUCAAAUCAACCACCAACAUUCCAGACCAUAAAUCAAUCCGCAAUGACUCAACUCAAAAUCCAAAUACAUCGAUCCCUUUCUUCCUAACCAGAACCCUAGAAGAGCUUGACGUCGACUUCACUGGAGAAGCAAUCAAAACCCUAGAAAAGUAUGGUCAUCAUGUUCAUUGUGUUCAAGCUGUUUGAUUCGAAGUGGCCGACAUAAAUGUUGCGGACUUCACCGAGGUUUGGUUUUUGGUGAUUGUGGCGGGUUUUGAUAGCAGGUUUCAAACACAACCACUAGUUGUUCUUCUCCUCUUUCUUGUUGCUCCACUUUCUACUGAUAUGUAAAGUCCUGCCUUCUUCCACUUCAACCUUCACAUCCGACUUGAAGAUGGAUUUGGAUUAAACAAAUUAAAUAAAAAUUGAUACGUUGGAAUGGAAGGUGGAUGGAUGAAAGUCACAUGGAUGCUUUUAAACUUCACUCAUCUACUCCGCCAUUCAGAUCUUUCUCUCUCCCUCUCUCUCUCUCUCACAUAAAUCUUACAUGAGUCAAGCAACCUCAUCGAAUCUCUCUUUCUAUCUCUUUUCCAGAGAAUCGAAAUGCAAAAUACAAUGGGUUUGUUGACAUUUUGCUGAUUCCGACAACGUGAAGAAUGUCGAAAGCACCAGUGUUGUAAUGAAGCACAAAAUAUAUUCAUAUAUUUCGUGGAUUUUUGCAGCAUUAGAUGCUUGAUCUUGUUGUUACUCAGAAGACCUCAUCGCGGAGUGGGUUCCAUAAAUGGAUUUGUUGUUCUUGGGGAGUCGAUAUUAAGGGUGAGUGUCCAAUUUUGACUUUUAAAUUGUAUUUGAGAAAGGAAAAAAUUAUAUUUUGACUUUUCAAUGGGAAAAUGCUUAUGUAGAAUAUCAAAUUGGCUAAUACAAGUCAGAGGGACUAAAAAGACGGGUUAAUUUAAAGUUUGUUCCCUUAAAAUGCUCGAAAUUUAAGGACUGAAUAGGUAAAGUCGAAAUACAUACUAGGGCUAAUGUGUCAUUUUCCAAAAAAAUCACUAAGUUAUAUUUGAAAAACGACAUUUUGAAGUGUGUAAAGAUGAAACAAAUAAGUUGUAGGGUCAUUUAGGGACUAUUUGAUAUAUUUUUUAUUGGAUCUAGUAAGAUGAUGGGUCUAACUCGGUCAAAUUCAAAUUGUUUGAUACAUGAUUAGAAGCAUCUGGUUCGAUCAUAUAACAUCUGAUAUGUCUCAUCUUAGGACUAGUUGGAAGUUGGAUAUGACUCAAUCAGAUUUUGAUUCUAUCAACAAUUAUCAGAUAGCUUCGGCCAUUAGUUUCCCAUUCAUAUCUUUAGUAGCACCCCAAUAGUAUCUUGUGUUUCCUUUACUUCCCAUUCAACCAAUUUUAGGAAAAUAUGGUGUAUUAUUGUAUUUGGUGAAGAAGGGGUGAGGCCCUUUAAUAAAUCUUAGAAUAUCAUGGUACUAUAUUUCUAACAUAAUAGGUCCAACUUUGACUUUAUAUAUAUAUAUAUAUAUAUAUAUAUAUAUAUAUAUAAUAAAGGAAACCUUUUGUCCACGUGUCACUUCCACCAAACAUUUUACAUCAAAAUGAAUUUCCUGUUAUACCCCUCCAUUCAAUAUUCAAUUUAAUUCGGUUUCUCUUUUUGGAUCUUAAUUUAAAUUCAUCUGUGUAUACGAUACUAUUUACAAAAUAAUUUUUUACUAUUAUGUUUUUAAUAAACUACUUUAAUAAAAUUUUAUAUUUCUUUAUUUUAUUAUCAUUUUUAAUCAUCAAUAUUUUUUUCUUUCUUACCCGUGGUUUCUACGGGUUGUAACCUACUAUAUAUAUAUAUAUAUAUAUAUAUAUAUAUAUAUAUAUAUAUAUAUAUAUAUAUAUAUAUAUAUAUAUAUAUAUAUAUAUAAUCCUAAUAAAAACCUCUCCUAAAAUCCACUUGUCCAACUUUUAGACUACAAAUCUGCCACGUGGCAGUACAAGAAGCAAUAAACAAAAAACUUUUCCUCCCAUAUACACAUUCCUUCAAUUCGUCAAUCCAUAUAAAACAAUUUUAAAAUUGAAAAUUCCAUAUUCCAUAUUGAAGAAAUUGAAGAUUGAAGAUGUUGAAGAUUAAAGAUCUUAUAUCCCUUAAAAUGAGGAGCCGAAGUUGAUGCUAGUCAGUUAUCUUCUAAUCUUCUGAUUCAAAUAUACCUUAAAUCCUUGAAAAUCAUGUUCAAAAUAAAUGCAUAUGCAUAUAUCAGAUCCUAUAAUCGGUUUUACUUCCACAGAGUAUUAUAUUUCAAACAAUCUUUGACGACAUUCUCUCUGAGCUCUGAUGACUUCCAUGGAAUAGGAAAAACUAAAAACAAUCGAUGAUAAUAAUAAAAGGUUUGUACUUCAUUUCGAUUACAACUCAUUUAUAUCGUUUAUUUAGUUAUCAUUAAUUUACAUAUCUAUAUUUCCCUGUCUUUCUUUCUGUAUGAAUAAUUUAUAGUCAAGAAAGUAAUGUUUAUGUUCCUGUCUCAUCGUUUGAAUUUUUCUUAAAACAAGCGAAUGGUUGCUAGACGCAUCGUUUUUGGAUUGGUCUUGUGAUUCACUUCCUUUUUCUAUUUCUUUUUGUUUACUAGAAUUGGUUUCUUCAUUAUAAGUUUGAUCGUAUUGAAUGAUCAAAUCUUCCUAAUGGUUCUUAAGUGAAUAUCUACUAAUUCAUCUUAAAAUUUGAAGUAUUGGAUGUUGAUGAGUCGUUGUGGCUUUAUGAUCAACGAAUUGUUGCGUGGAUUAUACAUUUGGAUGUUCUUUGGCGUAAAAAGGUUUUGGAGAAUAUCAUUCAGCCGUGUUUGGUGGAUUAAAUCAUGACAUGAUGUCAAGCUAAAGAAAAUAAGCUCACACUCACACUUGAAUUUGAUGGAAUUUCAGGGUUACACUAAUUGUAUGUUCAUUUGUUUUGAUUUGUUUGUGUGGUUUCUCAUUGAUUAAUCAACUACAUUAUGAUGAAACGUAUGUUUGAUCUUUAAAAAAAGAUUAAUUUGUUAUAUUUCUUAUUGUUUAUAAAUAAUUUGUUGAAAACA